rnacentral:rRNA from 1 species
AGCAGCCGCGGUAAUUCCAGCUCCAAUAGCGUAUAUUAAAGUUGUUGCAGUUAAAAAGCUCGUAGUUGAAUUUCGGGAUUUGUCGGUUGGUCGGGCUUCACUGUCCGCACUGGCCUGACGGAUUCCUACCUUCUGAAUAACCAGCAUGCUAUUAAUUUAGUGCGUUGGGGAAGCAGAGCUAUUACCUUGAAAAAAUUAGAGUGCUUAAAGCAGGCUUGNGCUUGAAUAGAUUAGCAUGGAAUAAUAAAAUAGGACGGCAUGGUUCUAUUUUGUUGGUUUCUAGGAUCACCGUAAUGAUUAAUAGGGAUAGUUGGGGGCAUUAGUAUUCAAUUGUCAGAGGUGAAAUUCUUGGAUUUAUUGAAGACUAACUUCUGCGAAAGCAUUUGCCAAGGAUGUUUUCAUUAAUCAAGAACGAAAGUUAGGGGAUCGAAGACGAUCAGAUACCGUCGUAGUCUUAACCAUAAACUAUGCCGACUAGGGAUCGGACGAUGUUAAUUUUUUAAUGACUCG